UGGUGUGGACAGUGCUCAGUUAGAG
rnacentral:piRNA from 1 species